rnacentral:rRNA from 1 species
GAUGAACGCUGGCGGCGUGCCUAAUACAUGCAAGUCGAGCGAACAGACGAGGAGCUUGCUCCUCUGACGUUAGCGGCGGACGGGUGAGUAACACGUGGAUAACCUACCUAUAAGACUGGGAUAACUUCGGGAAACCGGAGCUAAUACCGGAUAAUAUAUUGAACCGCAUGGUUCAAUAGUGAAAGACGGUUUUGCUGUCACUUAUAGAUGGAUCCGCGCCGCAUUAGCUAGUUGGUAAGGUAACGGCUUACCAAGGCAACGAUGCGUAGCCGACCGGAGAGGGUGACCGGCCACACUGGAACUGAGACACGGUCCAGACUCCUACGGGAGGCAGCAGUAGGGAAUCUUCCGCAAGGGGCGAAAGCCUGACGGAGCAACGCCGCGUGAGUGAGGAAGGUCUUCGGAUCGUAAAACUCUGUUAUGAGGGAAGAACAAAUGUGUAAGUAACUAUGCACGUCUUGACGGUACCUAAUCAGAAAGCCACGGCUAACUACGUG